GAUGAACGCUGGCGGCGUGCCUAACACAUGCAAGUCGAACGGAGAUUACGGACGGAAGUUUUCGGAUGGAAGCCUGUAAUUCUUAGUGGCGGACGGGUGAGUAACGCGUGGGCAACCUGCCCUAUACAGGGGGAUAGCAGCUGGAAACGGCUGGUAAGACCGCAUAAGUCGGUUAAAUCGCAUGAUUUGAUCGGGAAAUGAGCAAUCAGGUAUAGGAUGGGCCCGCGUCCGAUUAGCCAGUUGGCAGGGUAGAAGCCUACCAAAGCGACGAUCGGUAGCCGGACUGAGAGGUCGGACGGCCACAUUGGGACUGAGACACGGCCCAAACUCCUACGGGAGGCAGCAGUGGGGGAUAUUGCACAAUGGAGGAAACUCUGAUGCAGCGACGCCGCGUGAGUGAAGAAGUAUUUCGGUAUGUAAAGCUCUAUCAGCAGGGAAGAUGAUGACGGUACCUGACUAAGAAGCCCCGGCUAACUACGUG
rnacentral:rRNA from 1 species